rnacentral:rRNA from 1 species
UGAAACAUCUAAGUACCCCGAGGAAAAGAAAUCAACCGAGAUUCCCCCAGUAGCGGCGAGCGAACGGGGAGCAGCCCAGAGCCUGAAUCAGUGUGUGUGUUAGUGGAAGCGUCUGGAAAGGCGCGCGAUACAGGGUGACAGCCCCGUACACAAAAAUGCACAUGCUGUGAGCUCGAUGAGUAGGGCGGGACACGUGGUAUCCUGUCUGAAUAUGGGGGGACCAUCCUCCAAGGCUAAAUACUCCUGACUGACCGAUAGUGAACCAGUACCGUGAGGGAAAGGCGAAAAGAACCCCGGCGAGGGGAGUGAAAAAGAACCUGAAACCGUGUACGUACAAGCAGUGGGAGCACGCUUAGGCGUGUGACUGCGUACCUUUUGUAUAAUGGGUCAGCGACUUAUAUUCUGUAGCAAGGUUAACCGAAUAGGGGAGCCGAAGGGAAACCGAGUCUUAACUGGGCGUUAAGUUGCAGGGUAUAGACCCGAAACCCGGUGAUCUAGCCAUGGGCAGGUUGAAGGUUGGGUAACACUAACUGGAGGACCGAACCGACUAAUGUUGAAAAAUUAGCGGAUGACUUGUGGCUGGGGGUGAAAGGCCAAUCAAACCGGGAGAUAGCUGGUUCUCCCCGAAAGCU